CCCAAUCCCAGGAAUCCCGGCCAGAUCCCUCUGCACAGGACAGAAAUAGAUUGUAAUUGACAGAUGACAGGCUCUGGCCAAGUCCUGGUGCUUCAGAAGGGGGGAUGCAGGGAUAAGGGCUAUUAUUAUCCCUGUUAUUUUUUAUUUGGGAAGUGCUCCUACCGCCUCAAGCGCUCCCGGGAUUGCCGGCAAGAGCCUUCCUGUCCUUGGAACACGGGAUUUCUGGGAUCCAAGGGUGUGACUGGAGAUGAGCUAUGAGCUGUGGGAUGGAUGUGCUAACAACCUUUGGCAGAAAGGAGAGGACUGGACCAGCACUUCAUCCCGGCUGGAGACAUUCCAGGGCCAAGGAAUUGCCACACCAAGGAGCGGCUGGGAAGUGAGAGUCGGACAAAGCGGCGGAAGCCAGGGUGAAACAUCUCACAAAGGCCAACUAUCGCCCGGCUUUCCCAAGCAGACAUUAUUCCAUGCCACAGCAUUGGAUACAACUGGAGCCCAACUUGGCUUUGAAGCUCCUGGAACUGCCAGGUGUCUGUCCUUCCUUCCUUCCUUCCUUCCUGGAGUCCUUCCUUCCUGGGGUCCUUCCUUCCUUCCUGGUGCCCUGGAGUCCUUCCUGGAGUCCUGGAGUGUUGCAGUGUGUUUUAAACUUCUGGGUCCCUUACCCAGGCGUGCCAAAACCCUCCCUUUCCCCCUCACCCCCUUGCUGAGUGAGUCCUGUU
rnacentral:lncRNA from 1 species